UUAAAUGUGUGUCCAAAAUUCAUGUAGC
rnacentral:piRNA from 1 species